rnacentral:tRNA from 2 species
GCCGUUGUAGCUCAGUGGUAGAGCACUUCCUUGGUAAGGAAGAGGUCGUGAGUUCAAUUCUCAUCAACGGCUCUA